GUAAAAUGAUGAACUUACCUGCACAGAUACGUCGCUGACCUCAACAAAGAUGGCGUCUGACCGGAAGUAGUUCCUGUAACCUCAAACAAGAUGGCCGCCCCACUCUGCGCCGCAUGGAGCUGUGCAGGAGAGGAAGUGCGCCUGGGUUUUCAAAAUAAAAGCCUGAGUGAUCCAAGCAGUACGGCGUGACCUCUACACGGCAUCAGUAGAGAUGGAAAUGGCGCUCAUCUCACUAGUUGUCCUGGACAGGAAGUGAAAAGACGCUAAUGAAAGCGCCGCUCGCUUUAGUGCCUGUGAUCCAAUGGAAGCGCUCGUCUCCUGACAGCCGCCGCCAACAAUUUGCUGUGGGAGAGCUGAAUGUACACAUGGAAAGAUCCCCUUGCUGUCCCCUCUGAUGGCCAAGUCUGAUGUCGUCACACCAUUUCUUUCCACUGAAGAUGUCACCGAGAGUGGAGUGGCCACCAACUUUGCAAUUCAAUCAACUCUACCAGACAAACUGCCUAAAAAGGUUCCUACAUUGAACAACAGCGGUAGACCACGCCCACAACGGCUGUAGACCACGCCCACAUUGGCUGUAGACCACGCCCACAGGCCAGAGUGGUUCUCUGUGGUUCCUGGUUCUGUCCUGGUUCCACACGGUGCCUGCUAGGGACCAGCUAACAUGCUCCACCACUGGGGAGACAGGAAGUGGUCCUUGAAGGCUACA